rnacentral:rRNA from 1 species
UACGGAGGAUCCGAGCGUUAUCCGGAUUUAUUGGGUUUAAAGGGUGCGCAGGCGGGGGAUUAAGUCGGCGGUGAAAUUUUGCAGCUCAACUGUAAAAGUGCCUUCGAAACUGGUUUCCUUGAGUGUGGAUGAGGUAGGCGGAAUUUGUGGUGUAGCGGUGAAAUGCAUAGAUAUCACGAGGAACUCCGAUUGCGCAGGCAGCUUACUAAACUACUACUGACGCUCAGGCACGAAGGCGUGGGGAUCAAACAGGAUUAGAUACCCGGGUAGUCCCU